UAUAGAUACAAUAAGUUGCCAAAUCUGAAUCUGUGAGUCAUUUUUAAACCGGUUUGCUUAAACCACUUCACAUUGGGUGGUUAAUUUGCUUUCAUGUGGUGCAUUAAAACCAUUUAAUGUACAGCUAUCAUUGGAUUAUCCCUUAUGAAAUCAAUGCAAAUGUGGUACACCUCUUCAACUGCCAAAAACAGUACUCUUCAACACAAUUAUAAAGUGUUUAUUUUAUUUAAUAGCAUAAAAUGCGAUAACUCUCGGGUCACUAAAAUGCACACUCAUGAGUAAUAAACAGGGCAUUAGUGGAUUGACUGAUAUCAAAUCAAUACCUAAUAAAGGAAGGAAUUAUUCAGGACAGAAAAGUAGUAGGACUGAACCUUUCCAAUGGUUGCUCAUUAGUUUAAGUUGCAGAUUUAAUGUGGCCGAGGGGCUCUUCAGCAUCUUAAGUGAAAUGAUUAAAACAUUGAUUUGUAGUCAGCACACCUACACCUCAGAACAUAACACUACGUCACGGUUAAAACUCUCCUGUGAGCUCCAGCUUCUUGUGUCAGUCUACUUUUUGACUGUUUUAUCAUUACAGGUGACUAGGGAUAUUGUGCAUUGAUUGGAGCAGCUUUCACAUAAUUGUCUUUGCUUCUGGUUAUUGUUUUAAUUUAGCCGCAAAUCCUUGUAUUGACAUCAGAGUUGUAGAAAUUGAACGCAAGGGUUGUCAGAUGGAAAAGGCUGGAGAAUUACUCCCAAGGGUGUUGGACAAAACACCCAUUCCAAUGCUCCCAUGAUGCCUUUGCCCAGUCCUUCAACGCCGCUUCACUCGUUCAGAGCUUGAAUGUUUUUGCGGGUCAAAAAAACCCGACACUCUUCAUCUUGAAGGCGCCGGCUGAAGGUCUCAGAGGUCUUGUCUGAUGUCUUCCUCGCUUGUUGGCCAUAAGCAGAUGUGUAAUACAAGGCAAGCAGAAGGUAUCGAAAGGACUGAUGAAGAAAAAUGGAGGCAAUCAUUCGCUCGUCCUCAGCCUGUCACAACGAAAUAUAACUCAAUUAUUUCUUGUCAACAGAUGAGAAAUGUUGAACGUGGCAUCAGAGUGGAACGGAGCCCGACUUUCACACCGAAUGCGUUAAAAAAUAUAAGAAUGCGUGUUGUGCUGGUGUGUGUGUGGCAGGCUGAAGUGUGUGGACAGAUCUGUCACAAGCUGUUUCUGGAGAGCGUGGCACAGCGGGACGUCCCCGUGUGACAAAAUGUCAUUUAAUUCAACGGUUGUUUUUUUGGCAUCUUUCUCAGGAUGGUUGUGUUUCGUUAUUGUGUAACGUUAUAUGAUUUCUGAGUGAAAUCUACAUUAGCGCCUGUGUUUCCCACACGUUAAGCACUUUUAGUUAAUUAGAGUUAUUGAGUAACUGUGUAUGUAAAUACACUGUAACGUGAAGACUGUAAUAUCCUUCACCUCAUACUAAGCUUGAACAGGGCUUGAUUUCCUUAAAGGAACAGCUCGCCUUGAAUAUAAACUCCAA